rnacentral:rRNA from 1 species
UACGUAGGGUGCGAGCGUUAAUCGGAAUUACUGGGCGUAAAGUGUGCGCAGGCGGCCGAGCAAGUCGAGUGUGAAAGCCCCGAGCUUAACUUGGGAACUGCGCUCGAAACUACUUGGCUAGAGUGUGGCAGAGGGAGGUGGAAUUCCACGUGUAGCGGUGAAAUGCGUAGAGAUGUGGAGGAACACCGAUGGCGAAGGCAGCCUCCUGGGCCAACACUGACGCUGAUGCGCGAAAGCCAGGGGAGCGAACGGG